rnacentral:lncRNA from 1 species
CCUCUGCAUCCCGCAACCGCCGUGUUAGCUGCCGUUGCAACCUCUUCAUCCACUACCAUCUGCCGCCGUGACGAUAGCAUCGUCUCGCAGGCGUGGACGGCCCUGAAGGCGGAUCUGGUGCAAGCGACGCCGUUGCUGUUUCUGCGGAUGGUGCCCAUCUUGCUGCAAGGAGCAAGCUGGUUCCUCGUAGGCGUGCUGAGGCUGGAUGGACUGGCGCAACGACUCCGGGCGUGCUCGAGGUCCUGCUUAAGCCUCCACCUAACGAUGCGCCUGGUCGAGUUUCGCCGCAUCGCACAGGCAGGAUCUCACUCUCGAUCCACUGCGUGGAGUUGUGCCGCGAAGGCCAGGGGCAGCGCGUCUCCGCCGAUCCAUUGAUGGGCCCAUCCCGCUGGGCUGCUGCGCCGUACUAGGCCCGUUACCGUUGCUUCAUCGCCGGCGCCGCUUCCGUCGCCUUGUCGGGUUUUCCUCCGACCUCGGCAGGCUGAGAGCCGCAUGUCCCACCAGGUCCUCCGUCCUCCUCACCCUGUUGCUUUUGAUUUUCCUUUCCCGUUCGUUUCUGAUUUUCCGAGCCGUUCUUAGGGCUUCUCGACACGCAGGUAAUACGGGCUCCAUGGAGUCUUCAUCGUUAGAGACAAGUUGCCGUUCAGGAGCAUGGUUCGAGGCGAGAUGGUUGCGAAAAUGGUGUCUCCCUCGAUGACAACGGCCGGUACAGCCGGAUCCUUUGCCACAAAGGAACGACGAUGAACCCCGGUUGACGUAUGGCGAGCACCGCUGACGCUCGAGGAGCUGGAGAGUAGCUUAGUAUUCUCCAGGAUGCUUGUAAUUUUUAGUUUUUAGGAUUUUCUUGCUCACGUACAUGUGCAUUUCCUGGUUAUUUGUGUAUAUUUCAUUUAUUUUAUGAAAUGAGCAUAUAUUGUUGUGACAAAACAUAUUGGCUUAAUAAAAUUUCCAUGAACCAAGAGGAGAAAUGAGAUAACAGAUUUUUUUUGAAGGAUAUGAG